rnacentral:rRNA from 1 species
UAGAGACCGGCGCACGGGUGCGUAACGCGUAUGCAAUCUACCUUUUACAGGGGAAUAGCCCAGAGAAAUUUGGAUUAAUGCCCCAUAGUAUAUAUGAAUCGCAUGGUUUAUAUAUUAAAGUUCCAACGGUAAAAGAUGAGCAUGCGUCCCAUUAGUUAGUUGGUAAGGUAACGGCUUACCAAGACUAUGAUGGGUAGGGGUCCUGAGAGGGAGAUCCCCCACACUGGUACUGAGACACGGACCAGACUCCUACGGGAGGCAGCAGUGAGGAAUAUUGGACAAUGGGCGCAAGCCUGAUCCAGCCAUGCCGCGUGCAGGAAGAAGCAUCUAUGGUGUGUAAACUGCUUUUGUACAGGAAGAAACACUCCUUCGUGAGGGAGCUUGACGGUACUGUAAGAAUAAGGAUCGGCUAACUCCGUGCCAGCAGCCGCGGUAAUACGGAGGAUCCAAGCGUUAUCCGGAAUCAUUGGGUUUAAAGGGUCCGUAGGCGGUUUAAUAAGUCAGUGGUGAAAUCUGGUCGCUCAACGAUCAAACGGCCAUUGAUACUGUUAGACUUGAAUUACUAGGAAGUAACUAGAAUAUGUAGUGUAGCGGUGAAAUGCUUAGAUAUUACAUGGAAUACCAAUUGCGAAGGCAGGUUACUACUAGUGGAUUGACGCUGAUGGACGA